GUUUUUCCUGAUCUGUUCUU
rnacentral:snRNA from 1 species